GAAGGGGAGAGGCAGCACCUCGAAAGGAGGGUCUCUGGAGUGUUGGGUUCUGGAGUUUGGAGGAAAAUUCCUAAACAGACAAUGGGAAAAUCGUUCAUUUUCUUCCUUGAGCAAUUGUGGGACAGCCCGGGGAGCCUGCAGACCAGAUGGAGGGGAAGACUUCCUGGGCCUAUGGACGGUCAUGGAGACCAGCUUUCAGAGCACCCAUGGAUGGGCAGUACAGAGAUGGAACGAUGGAGAAAUGUCAGAUGUACCUUACCUACCCGCCUCCUGAGAGCCUCAGAGAUCUUGGGAUUUCAGUGCAAGAAGGGACUUAAGGAUAUGUGGUGCCCAUCC